rnacentral:rRNA from 1 species
CCCUUAGAUGUUCUGGGCCGCACGCGCGCUACACUGAUGCAUUCAACGAGCACCCGCUGGGCCGAGAGGUCCGGCUAAUCUUUGAACGUGCAUCGUGCUGGGGAUAGAUGAUUGCAAUUAUUCAUCUUCAACGAGGAAUUCCUAGUAAACGCAAGUCAUCAGCUCGCAUUGAUUACGUCCCUGCCCUUUGUACACACCGCCCGUCGCACCUACCGAUUGAAUGGUCCGGUGAAAUUCUCGGACGCGGACUAGCGAUGUUAAUUCGGAGCUUGACUGUGGAAGUUAAUUAAACCUUACCAUUUAGAGGAAGGUGAAGUCGUAACA